UUCCAGGUUUUGCUUAGUGCAUGAGAAGCAAAAAGAGCUUGGAACUGCUGUCUUAUCUAGAAAUUGAAAAAAUAGCAAAAAGAAUGAGGAAAAAGAAGCGAGAAGCUCGAAAGAAUUCAAACACUAUGGCAGACAACGAGAAUCGAAGACGUGACACCCGAGCUCUAAGGGAUUUUGCUCUACUACAGGUCACAAGAAUCAACUCAGUCAUCAGGAAACCUAGUAUUGCAGCCAACAACUUUGAGAUUCAGCUAGCUAUCCUACAAAUGAUCCAAACAUCAAUUCAAUUCCAUGGAUUUCCGAGUGAUGAUCCUAAUGCCCAUAUAGCAAGUUUUCUGGAAGUUUGUGAUACCUUCAAGCAAAAUGGUGUUACUGAUGAUGCCAUUCGCCUCUGGCUAUUUCCUUUCUCUCUUCGAGAUAGAGCAAAAAGUUGUCUAAAUGCAUUACCUGCAGAUUCAGUCACUAGUUGGGAAGAUUUAGCUCAGAAGUUUCUAGCUAAAUUUUUUCCACCAGCCAAGACAGCAAAGAUGCGCAAUGAAAUUUCAAAUUUUUCUCAAUUGGAAGGUGAAACACUUUACAAGGCUUGGGAGCAAUAUAAAGACCUACUUAGGCGAUGCUCUCACCAUGGAUUGCCAAAGUGGAUGCAAGUUCAGAACCUUUAUAAUGGACUUGCUGCCUCUACAAGAACUCUAAUAGAUGCCACCUCAGGAGGAACGUUUAUGGGCAAAUCCCCAGACGAUGCAUAUGAUCUAUUGGAGGAGAUGGCGAUGAACAACUAUCAAUGGCCAAAUGAGAGAAUUUUACCGAAGAAAGCAGUAGGAGUGCAUGAGGUUGAAGCUAUCACUACUUUAAUAGCUCAAGUCCAUAAUCUUACUCAACAAUUGAAGGCCAACCAACUGACAGCAAAUGCCAUUCACUUGACACCACCAGCUUGUGAUUUUUGUCAUGGAAACCAUCCGAGUGAAGAAUGUCAAGUGGGAAAUCCCUUCUUUCAAUCCCAAGUGGAGCAAGCACACUUUGUUGCAAAUUACAAUCAGCAAAACAAUCCAUAUAGUGCGACAUACAACCCUGGAUGGAAAAAUCACCCCAAUUUUUCAUGGAAUAAUCAGAAUGCAUUGAAACCUCCACCUGGUCCAUCAUCUAGUGAUCCACCGAAAGAGAAGUCAACACUUGAAGAAGCAAUGGCACAAUUAGCAACUAACACCAACAGAUUCAUAAUAGAGACUAAGACCAAUUUUCAGAAUCAAGCGGCUUCGAU
rnacentral:lncRNA from 1 species